rnacentral:rRNA from 1 species
UACGAAGGGGGCUAGCGUUGCUCGGAAUUACUGGGCGUAAAGAGCGCGUAGGCGGACAUUUAAGUCAGGGGUGAAAUCCCAGAGCUCAACUCUGGAACUGCCUUUGAUACUGGGUGUCUUGAGUGUGAGAGAGGUAUGUGGAACUCCGAGUGUAGAGGUGAAAUUCGUAGAUAUUCGGAAGAACACCAGUGGCGAAGGCGACAUACUGGCUCAUUACUGACGCUGAGGCGCGAAAGCGUGGGGAGCAAACAGG